UUGGAUUAGAUUUGCUAUAAUUUGGGGUAGAAACGACCUUUUGCAGUCUCCCCAUCCAGCAAUAUGGCUGACCUCCCGUUUGCUUUCAGGAUCAUGGCUUCGGGUAAAGGUUUGCGCAGUCCUUCACGCUGGGUGUGAACUCGGUCGUGGGAAUUCUGUAUUUGCAGCUGUGGUGGCGAAGGGAUAUUUUUGUGACCAGCCUUCUUCCUGGGGACUCCUUUGCAGGCGAGCCCCUCUUCGUGCAGUGGAAGUAGCUGCACAGAACAGGCACCCUAAGGGACCGCGAACUUGCGGUGGGGGCUGACAGCGGGAGGCCACUACAGUCCAGGGCGCCCCGCAUUGCCACGCUCUGGGCGAUGCGCCGCGAUUAACCGCGUUCCAGUGGCGCCCCUUGUGGCCGUUUCCAGGGCCGCGCUUCUGCUACAAUAUUUUCAACUCCGCUUCUCCAGCACCUCCUCCGUUUUCCUUUUCUGCUAGACGUUUGAGUCACCUCCUGGGAAGGAGGGCAAACGAUGUUCAGUAUUUUAGGCUCAGACGAAUACAAUUUGGAACGCGAUGAUGAAAAAGUCACUUUAGAGCCGGCUCCACUCUCAGGAGCGCGUCAGUUUCUGUUCAUUCAACACCGAUUGAUGGAGCAUGCCUCGUGGCCAGAUGAGGGUGUCAUGGCCAGGCAGAGACAGACGGCCCUCCGACUCUCUCAGCCAUGUUCCAGUGAAAGGAGACAAGGAUAAACCAACCAAUGCGAUCAUUUCCAAGAGCGUUAAGUGCUUUGAAGAAAACAACACAGUGAUUUUGUAGUAAUGGGGAGAGGGAUGGGGCUGACCGCAUUAGCUGGUCAGGGCAGGCUUCUCAGCGGAGGUACCAGCCAUGUCCUCUCUCCAGUGUUCUUAAGCACAGGGCGGGUGCUGAACCCCAAGGUACGAGGGAAGUUCAGAUCCUUGAGGGAGGGGGGCGAUUUGUACAUCAGCAAGUUGUGCGUCUCUAGGAAGGUGGCUUGUGGUAGUGUCGGCUGCCAAAGCUCCCAAGUUGCGAGGUGUUGGGACCGGGAUUUGAACCCUCAGCAGCCCAUCUGCAGCGUCUGCACUCUUCACCAUUGGCGUCUUACAUCAUCUCUCUGUGGCGCUCUGGCCUCAACUUCCUCUCCUACUAGACCACCGUCCUUGCCGUCAUGACCGGGUGACUCAGGGGUCUCUUACAGCUCCUGGAUGGAAACAGUUGCUGGCGCACUUGGCUGUCCUCGAGGGGAAGGUGGAAUGUCUCGGCCCUCACUUGGUGAUGUUCAUCUCAGCGCAGGGACGCUCGUGACGUUCUUAUCUUUCUUCCUGUCUGCCUGUGGAACCCCAUGAAAAUGACCUCUUCCUUCUCAUCUUCAUAAACCCAGCGGUUGUGAUGUCUGCCUCCUAAAACCGUCCAGCAGCCGCUAACGACAGCUUAAGGGCACAGGGUCCUCAGGGCCCCUCUGCAGAGCCCAGCGUCCAGUGGAAGCUGCAUAGAACCCAGUCCCGUUACCAUGUGUUCGUUCUCCCACGGGACACAGCUGGCUUGGCUGACGGUCCCUGCAUCUUGGGAAUCUUCCUGACGGCAGUUUGGCUUGUGCUCUCUGGGGGUCCAGCGUGGUUGGAUUCUCCAUCUGCUUUGGAAAUAUCGUCCCCUGCUGUUAAAGGGUGUUCCCAGUGGGGCCGUGCCAAGAAGGCACCAAGAUGCCAGGACCAGUCACCUCCUGCCCAGCCAUGCUUCGAGCCUGCCUGCUGUCCCCGUGGGGUCUCCAUGCCCCAGGUGUUGGUCUGUGAGGGGACUGACUCAGCUAGGUGGGCUCCACGAUGGAUCCAUCCAUGCCACUCUGCAGGGCUGACCCGGUCUCAGACCCAGGAAUUGGAGAGGAGCCACGGGGCUCUCAGGCACGGUGUCCACCCACGCUGGGACGCCACCCCAGCCAGCAGUUGGCUCUUAUAGAGGCUCCUGCUAUGUUCUCUGGGGCUCACCGCCAUCUCUAGCCGUCAGUUCCUCUCUGUACUGCACCCCCACAGGUGGUGCUCCCAGGAAGGCACGUCCUGGCUAUCCCUCUGCCUGCAUAGGUGCAGGGGGCCGAGGUCCCUGCUGCAUCUCAGCCUGGAAGCUUUCUGCAGCCAGAUCCCAAGCCACCCCCAGCAGCCCCCAGCCGGCCUAGUCCCUAUCUAGGGCCCUCAAAAACUCUGACAACAGGGCGUGGGUCCUUCCCGCUGGAGCCUGGCCGUCCUUGGGGUUCUGCAGCUGAGCCAGCACAGCUCCGUGGGCUGUUGCAAGCUGUGCUCUGAGGGCCAGGUCUGUGACCCCUAGAGCGAGCUCCUAGUCUGCUCUGUGAAGGCCGGGGCUCCCAUGGUGUGACGUGGGUGGUGUUCACUCAGUCAUAGAUGUGGUGGAGGGUGUCACGUGCUGAAUUGGAGGCCCUCCUUCCCCAGGACACCUUCUGCCAUUUGCUGGAAAACUGUCAAAUCACAUAGACUCAUCUGGAAA